GAUGAACGCUGGCGGCGUGCUUAACACAUGCAAGUCGAACGGAAAGGCUCCUGCUUGCAGGGGUACUCGAGUGGCGAACGGGUGAGUAACACGUGGGUGAUCUGCCCUGCACUUCGGGAUAAGCCUGGGAAACUGGGUCUAAUACCGGAUAGGACGAUGGUUUGGAUGCCAUUGUGGAAAGUUUUUCGGUGUGGGAUGAGCUCGCGGCCUAUCAGCUUGUUGGUGGGGUAAUGGCCUACCAAGGCGUCGACGGGUAGCCGGCCUGAGAGGGUGUACGGCCACAUUGGGACUGAGAUACGGCCAAGACUCCUACGGGAGGCAGCAGUGGGGAAUAUUGCACAAUGGGCGCAAGCCUGAUGCAGCGACGCCGCGUGGGGGAUGACGGCCUUCGGGUUGUAAACUCCUUUUGCUAGGGACGAAGCGCAAGUGACGGUACCUGGAGAAGAAGCACCGGCUAACUACGUG
rnacentral:rRNA from 1 species